CGGACGGGUGAGUAACGCGUGGGUAACCUGCCUUGUACUGGGGGACAACAGUUGGAAACGACUGCUAAUACCGCAUAAGCGCACAGCUUCGCAUGAAGCAGUGUGAAAAACUCCGGUGGUACAAGAUGGACCCGCGUCUGAUUAGCUUGUUGGUGGGGUAACGGCCCACCAAGGCGACGAUCCAUAGCCGGCCUGAGAGGGUGAACGGCCACAUUGGGACUGAGACACGGCCCAGACUCCUACGGGAGGCAGCAUG
rnacentral:rRNA from 1 species